rnacentral:rRNA from 1 species
UACGUAGGGUGCAAGCGUUGUCCGGAUUUAUUGGGCGUAAAGAGCUCGUAGGCGGCUUGGCAAGUCGGGUGUGAAAGCUUCAGGCUCAACCUGGAGAUGCCACCCGAUACUGCUAUGGCUUGAGUCCGGUAGGGGACCACGGAAUUCCUGGUGUAGCGGUGAAAUGCGCAGAUAUCAGGAGGAACACCGGUGGCGAAGGCGGUGGUCUGGGCCGGCACUGACGCUGAGGAGCGAAAGCGUGGGUAGCAAACAGG